rnacentral:misc_RNA from 1 species
ACGGAGUCCGCUCUGUCCAACUUCAAAACUUAUAUCAAUUUAUCUGAAAACUUGAAAAUUUAAAACUUUCAACAACGGAUCUCUUGGUUCUCACAUCGAU